GAAUCCUUUGCAGACGAC
rnacentral:snRNA from 1 species